rnacentral:tmRNA from 1 species
AAUGGUUUCGACGGGGGCAAGUUGCUCCUGGGAAGCGAGUCGAAGGGAUCCUGUACCUGCGUUAAAAAACUGGGAACUUAAAUAUAAUUGCAAACGAUAAUUUUGCAUUAGCUGCCUAAUAGUUGCAGCUCGUCAGCCUAAGAGUCCCACGACUUAGGGUCUGGCGUCGACAGUGGGGAACCGAGCCUUACAAAGCUUUGAGUAAGGAACGGAAUUAAUGAAGCUACUAAAUCUAAGAGCCCGUUUAUCGGCGCUUAGAGGAGGGAAUGUAAAAGGAUAAACUGCACUCGGAGAUGCCCAGGGGUUGCUGCUUUCGGACAGGGGUUCGAUUCA